AAGCUCUUACUUGCUGGCAUAGCAAGUCUCAAGUCUGGAUUGGUGGUGAAGGAGGUUUGAUUCCAAGCAAAUUUGGUCCACAAUGAAUGAAAGCAAUGGGCAUGUCAGGAGGCAUAAGAGUCUCCAAAUGUCAACCUUUCUACAUAGGGGAGCAAGAGCAUAUUCUGGGGGGCGGGACUUCAANUGUUUCCAUACUUGAAACUUCAUUAAACUGUUCAACAAAUGAGUUCAUCGUUCACAGGAUGACUUAUAAAAUAUUCAAACAGGAGGCUUCCAAGAGAAAAACUGGUGGAAUAUGAAGAUGAACUUGACCAGUCAUCUCCAUGGACAAUGGGGAUCUUGUAAAGACAGCUGUGACACCAUCAAAAGCCAAGUUCUUUUAUGGACUCAAUUUGUACUCUUCUGGAUUCUUACGAAAGGUUGAGGUAAGUACACUGGGGCACU
rnacentral:lncRNA from 1 species